AUUAGAUACCCUAUUAUUUUUAGUGUAAAAAGUAAACCUGAGUAUUAGUAGAUAUGAUCUUUAAACUUAAAGAAUUUGGCGGUAUUAUAGUCUAUUUAGAGGAAUCUGUUAAGUAAUCGAUAGUCCGCGUUGAACCUUACUCAUGUAAAUUUUUGUAUACCGCUGUUUAUGAAUAUACUUUUAGGUUGAUUUUCUGGAUAUGAUAAUAAAUAGAAUUUCAAGUCAAGGUGCAGAAUGUAUGAGUUGAAUAAUGGAUUACAAUAAAUUUUAUUUAUGAACGGAUUUAUUGUUUGAAUAUAAUUUGAAGGUGGAUUUAAUUGUAAUUUUAUGAAGAUUGUUAAAAUGAUUUAUAGCUCUAUAAUAUGUACACAUCGCCCG
rnacentral:rRNA from 1 species